UGGGGAAUCUUGCGCAAUGGGCGAAAGCCUGACGCAGCGACGCCGCGUGCGGGAUGAAGGCCUUCGGGUUGUAAACCGCUUUCAGCAGGGACGAAAUUGACGGUACCUGCAGAAGAAGCUCCGGCCAACUACGUGCCAGCAGCCGCGGUAAGACGUAGGGGGCGAGCGUUGUCCGGAAUUAUUGGGCGUAAAGGGCUCCUAGGUGGUUCAGUAAGUCGACUGUGAAAAUCCAAGGCUCAACCUUGGGACGCCAGUCGAUACUGCUGUGACUCGAGUUCGGUAGAGGAGUGUGGAAUUUCUGGUGUAGCGGUGAAAUGCGCAGAUAUCAGAAGGAACACCAACGGCGAAGGCAGCACUCUGGGCCGAUACUGACACUGAAGAGCGAAAGCGUGGGGAGCAAACAGG
rnacentral:rRNA from 1 species